UUUAUAGUCUUUUUUUUCAUAUAUAUCCAUCCCAUAAGGGAGAAAUAGUUGUGUAGGCUACAAACAUAAUAGCAAACACAUUCAUUGAACCUCCUCAUUUAUAUACUGUGAACACAAGACUGUUAGACUAGAACCAACUGCUGCUAAAUAGUAACAAGUACAUUCCAGAAACUUCUUUCUCCUCAACUUUCACCUUCAAACUUUUCCCUUGGAGUUUCUUUUUGGUAGUACUCAACAGUGAACUAAGUAACAAGGUAGUCUGGGAAGUGUAGUUGCUAAGUCCUAGCUCCAGCAUCAUAGAACAGGACACAGAAAGGUAGGGAAGGGUCUGAGAAACAGUAGCCAUAUAACUGGCACAAUUCCAAUUAAUCUUUGGCACUGAUAUAAUGAUAGCAUUAUAUCAUUAUAUAUGACUGUGACUCAGUGACAGUCACCAGUGGAAGCUGUUGGGUUCUAGAGAAAAGAGGAAUAGACUGCUGUCUGAUAGAGCAGUGGUCCUGCUUUCUUGCUUAGCAGGGGUUAACAGUGAAGACAGACAUGUCCAUUAUUAGGAGACACUUUCUGUGAGGUCCCACAAAUUAUUGACAGGAAAGCCUUUUGGGGAUGGAGUACUUAAAGCACAGGGAGUCAAAAGAUGACAAAAUUUGGUUGAAUUUAUCUGUAUUUAUAGACUGGGAAUUUAGAAUUACCAGUGUUUUUCUUAAAUUUAAAAACAAACUCACCAGACUGGUCUCUGAACAUAUUUGAUUAAAAUUAUCAUUAUUAUUUUUGGAAACAUAUUGGUUUGGUCUUGUAGUUCUAGUAACAAUAUUCCAGUUCUUCUUUGGAGAACCACUGCUCUUUUCUGGAAGAACAUGAACAUUUUGGUUACUUAUUCACACACUUUCCCCUUCCCCUGCCCAGGCAACAACUUGACCGCAAUAAUUAGUUCAUGUUCACAUGUGGAUGGUUAGAAUUAGAUCCCAAUUCUAAUUCCAAUUCUAGAUCUGGGUCAAUCAGAAAAAUAUGUUCUUUCUCCAUUGGGGUUGGUAGGUGAAUACAAGGUAAGUUUGGAACUAUGGUGGCCAUAUCUGAAAGGACAAGUCUUCCUGAAAUCAAACCAUCUCAUAGACAGGUAUAUAUCCAAGAGGUCUUGGAUUGUGACUCAGCGGCAGAGA
rnacentral:lncRNA from 1 species